rnacentral:ncRNA from 1 species
AUAGGUUUGGUCCUAGCCUUUCUAUUAGUUGUUAAUAAACUUACACAUGCAAGAAUCUUCGCCCCCGUGAAAACGCCCUUAAACCACUAUUUAGUGUAAAGGAGCUGGUAUCAAGCACACUAUAAAAGUAGCUCAUAACACCUUGCUCAGCCACACCCCCACGGGAAACAGCAGUGAUAAAAAUUAAGCAAUAAAUGAAAGUUUGACUAAGUUAUAUUAUUAAGGACUGGUAAAUUUCGUGCCAGCCACCGCGGUCAUACGAUUAGACCAAACUAAUAGAUAGCCGGCGUAAAGUGUGUUUUAGAGUUUAACGAUAAAUAAAGUCAAACCUUAACCAAGCUGUAAAAAGCCUUAGUUAUUGUAAGAUGCUUGACAAAAGUAACUUUAGAAUCUCUGACUACACAAUAGCUAAAACCCAAACUGGGAUUAGAUACCCCACUAUGCUUAGCCCUAAACAUAGAAAAUUAAAAACAAAAUUAUUCGCCAGAGUACUACCAGCAAAAGCUAGAAACUCAAAGGACUUGGCGGUGCCCUAUAUCCCUCUAGAGGAGCCUGUUCCAUAAUCGAUAAACCCCGAUACACCUUACCAACUUUUGCCAAACCAGUCUAUAUACCGCCAUCUUCAGCAAACCCUAAAAAGGAAGCACAGUAAGCACAACCAUUAACAUAAAAAAGUUAGGUCAAGGUGUAGCCUAUAAGUUGGAGAGAAAUGGGCUACAUUUCCCAAAAUAGGACAUCCACGAAAACUAAUAUGAAAUUACUAGUUAAAGGUGGAUUUAGUAGUAAAUUAAGAAUAGAGUGCUUAAUUGAAUGGGGCCAUGAGGCACGCACACACCGCCCGUCACCCUCCUCAAACAACAAACAUUAAUUAAUCCAUAAAACCCCAAAUGAAUCCUGUAAGAGGAGAUAAGUCGUAACAAGGUAAGUGUACUGGAAAGUGCACUUGGCUAACA